rnacentral:rRNA from 2 species
CAGCCGCCGCGGUAAAACCAGCACCUCAAGUGGUCAGGAUGAUUAUUGGGCCUAAAGCAUCCGUAGCCGGCUCUGUAAGUUUUCGGUUAAAUCUGUACGCUCAACGUACAGGCUGCCGGGAAUACUGCAGAGCUAGGGAGUGGGAGAGGUAGACGGUACUCGGUAGGAAGGGGUAAAAUCCUUUGAUCUAUUGAUGACCACCUGUGGCGAAGGCGGUCUACCAGAACACGUCCGACGGUGAGGGAUGAAAGCUGGGGGAGCAAACCGGAUUAGAUACCCGGGUAGUCCCAGCUGUAAACUAUGCGAACUCAGUGAUGCAUUGGCUUGUGGCCAAUGCAGUGCUGCAGGGAAGCCGUUAAGUUUGCCGCCCGGGAAGUACGUACGCAAGUAUGAAACUUAAAGGAAUUGGCGGGGGAGCAC